rnacentral:rRNA from 1 species
GACGAACGCUGGCGGCGUGCCUAAUACAUGCAAGUCGAACGCAGUUGGAACGGGUGCGUAACGCGUAGGUAACCUCCUCAUAGCGGCGAUAACUAUUGGAAACGAUUGCUAAACCGCUACUGUGAGCUUCACCUGCUUUGUAUUAGCUAGUUGGUGAGGUAAAGGAUCACAAAGGCGACGAGUCAUACCCGACCUGAGAGGGUGAUCGGCCACACGGGGACUGAGACACGGCCCAGACUCCUACGGGAGGCAGCAGUAGGGAAUCGUCGGCAAUGGACGGAAGUCUGACCGAGCAACGCCGCGUGAGUGAAGAAGGUUUUCGGAUCGUAAAACUCUGUUGUUAGAGAAGCGGUAUCUAACCAGAAAGCCACGGCUAACUACGUGCCAGCAGCCGCGGUAAUAC